ACAAAGGCUCUUUUAAGGGCUACCACAUAAUCCUGCAAAGGAACUAU
rfam:Chelonia mydas contig258443, whole genome shotgun sequence.